rnacentral:rRNA from 1 species
UUGAAUUGAUUAAAGGAGUAAUCCGCUUCAAGAUGGGCCCGCGGCGCAUCUAGCUAGCUCUGGUGAGGUAACGGCUCACCAAGGCGACGAUGCGUAGUCCGACCUGAGUAGGGUGAUCGGCCACNUCUGGGACUGAGACACGGCCCAGACUCCUACGGGAGGCAGCAGUGGGGAAUAUUGCACAAUGGGGGAAACCCUGAUGCAGCAACGCCGCGUGAGUGAUGAAGGCCUUCGGGUUGUAAAGCUCUGUCUUCAGGACGAUAUGACGGUACCUGAGAGGAAGCCACGGCUAAUACUUGCAAGCUACCCGCGUAAUACU